UACGAAGGGGCUAGCGUUGUUCGGAAUUACUGGGCGUAAAGCGCACGUAGGCGGAUAUUUAAGUCAGGGGUGAAAUCCCGGGGCUCAACCCCGGAACUGCCUUUGAUACUGGGUAUCUUGAGUUCGGAAGAGGUGAGUGGAAUUGCGAGUGUAGAGGUGAAAUUCGUAGAUAUUCGCAGGAACACCAGUGGCGAAGGCGGCUCACUGGUCCGAUACUGACGCUGAGGUGCGAAAACG
rnacentral:rRNA from 1 species